AGUGAACGCUGGCGGCAGGCCUAACACAUGCAAGUCGAACGGCAGCACAGAGGAGCUUGCUCCUUGGGUGGCGAGUGGCGGACGGGUGAGGAAUACGUCGGAAUCUGCCUAUUUGUGGGGGAUAACGUAGGGAAACUUACGCUAAUACCGCAUACGACCUACGGGUGAAAGCGGAGGACCUUCGGCUUCGCGCAGAUAGAUGAGCCGACGUCGGAUUAG
rnacentral:rRNA from 1 species